GGGGUUCUCUGUUUUACUGGUUUACUUCAUUUGUUGCUUUUUCAACUAUCGAAUCAAAGAUAAUACACCACGAUUUUUAUAUGUAAUCUCUGUGUUGGUUAGCUGGUUUUGUUUUUAGUUGAUGGUUUUUAGUAUUCUUUAUAAGGAGUGUUGAAUUGUGGAUAGCUGUCAAUUUAUUCAACUGAAAGUGGGAAUGAUGUUACAUCUAAUUCACUUACUUAACUGUCUUCUCAGCUGUUCUUCAUGUGAUCAUAUGAAUCUCAUUUUCGUUUGUGUUGGAGUAAUUUCUUGUUGGGUUUCGUCAACCUAGUUUGCUUUUGAUAGGACAUUGUACUUGUCAGGCUGAGUUUUUGACUAAUUGUACUAAUUAGAUUAUUGUACUGUUGUUUGUUACCUUGUUAGGGAAAUACAAAGUUCUAUGUGGUUCAGAGUAAGCUGUUCAGUUAUUACGUGUAUAUUUUUUUUCCUUUU
rnacentral:misc_RNA from 1 species